rnacentral:rRNA from 1 species
GACGAACGCUGGCGGCGUGCUUAACACAUGCAAGUCGAACGGAAAGGCCCUGCUUUUGUGGGGUGCUCGAGUGGCGAACGGGUGAGUAACACGUGAGUAACCUGCCCUUGACUUUGGGAUAACUUCAGGAAACUGGGGCUAAUACCGGAUAGGAGCUCCUGCUGCAUGGUGGGGGUUGGAAAGUUUCGGCGGUUGGGGAUGGACUCGCGGCUUAUCGGCUUGUUGGUGGGGUAGUGGCUUACCAAGGCUUUGACGGGUAGCCGGCCUGAGAGGGUGGCCGGCCACAUUGGGACUGAGAUACGGCGCAGACUCCUACGGGAGGCAGCAGUGGGGAAUAUUGCACAAUGGGCGGAAGCCUGAUGCAGCAACGCCGCGUGCGGGAUGACGGCCUUCGGGUUGUAAACCGCUUUCGCCUGUGACGAAGCGUGAGUGACGGUAAUGGGUAAAGAAGCACCGGCUAACUACGUG